CCACACGAGGUUAACGAGGGGGCGUGGCACACGGGAGGAUCGGACGAGCGCGCGUGACAAUUUGAGUUGGAGGGAUUUGACAAAAGCAUCCUUUUAGAAAUGCGUGAGGAAGGUCAAGACUCUGGUCUCCAGCUCACCGCUCUCUGUUACAUUUCCAUGGCCAUUUUGUCUGAUAGUAUCAUUCGAUUUUUCUAUGCUAUAGUUUUUUUAUGUUUAAUCAUUGC